UCCAAAGUCACAAAGCCCAUAGCUGUGAGAACGAAGGCCUCUUGAUUCUCAAUUCAUUCUAUUUCUUUUUUUCUUUUUCUUUUUUUGGUUUUUUGAGACAGGGUUUCUCUGUAAAGACUUGGCUGUCCUGGAACUCACUCUGUAGCCCAGGCUGGCCUCGAGCUCACAGAGAUCCACCUGCUUCUACCUCCUAAGUGCUGGGAUUAAAGGCGUGCACCUCCACUGCCCGGCUACUCUACCUACAAUAACCUUUUCAUUCUUCCAUUCAUAAACAUACUUACUGUGGCCGACGUUUUGCCAAGUUCUGACAGGCUAAGAUAAACAAUAAUUUGACUAUACAUUCCACCAAUUUAUCUUGACACACAGACUGUAAGGGCCAUGAAAGCAGGCUCGGUGGCUGUUCCGUUUCCACUCGGUCACCAGCGCCCGGCACAGGGAAGAAGACACCGAUCGGCAUUUGAUGGGGAAAAGGUAUGUGCGGUGUCUCCAAGCCUGAUGACUUCACCUGUGGAUUCCACUUCAUCUUCAUCCCAGGCAGGCUCGAAAGCAUCAGACAGGAAGGAACACCUGAAAAAGGUCUCUCACUCACUACGGACUGUUUGCCUACAGAGAGCAUUUCAAACGGUGACUGUGGGCUUACAGGCACUCAGACUGCUCAUUCCUAGGUGCACAGACUAGGGCUUUGGAUGUAGCCCAACAAUUUAGCAUUUGCCUACAAUGGUCCUUGGUUUAUUCCCAGAAAGGAGGGAAGAAGGGAAGAAAAUUACACUUGGCCUCUCA